CUAGCCGUAAACGAUGGAUACUAGGUGUUAGAGGUAUCGACCCCUCUAGUGCCGUAGCUAACGCAUUAAGUAUCCCGCCUGGGGAGUACGACCGCAAGGUUGAAACUCAAAGGAAUUGACGGGGGCCCGCACAAGCGGUGGAGCAUGUGGUUUAAUACGUCACUAACCGUAGAACCUCACCCAGGCUUGACAUCCACUGUAAGUCUAUGAAAGUGGUACCCCUGUAUGGAAACAUGCAGCAGUGAGACAGGUGU
rnacentral:rRNA from 1 species